rnacentral:rRNA from 1 species
UAGUCGUGACUGAGAGGUCGAUCGACCACAUUGGGUCUGAAAAAACCCCAAUGCGUAUUAGUACAGCAGUGAGGAAUAUUGGUCAAUGGCCGAAAGGCUGAACCAGUAACUUGGAAGAAUGUAAGUGUAUUAUAGUAAUACAGUAACGAUUAACUCGUAUAAAAUUCUAAAUAGGAUAAUGAUAAUGACAAUUUCCUAUUUAUAAGUCUUGACCAAAUUACGUGCCAGCAGUCGCGGUAAUACGUAGAAGACUAGUGUUAGUCAUCUUUAUUAGGUUUAAAGGGUACCUAGACGGUAAAUUAAACUCUAAAUGAGUACUUUUUUACUAGAGUUUUAUGAGAGAAGGAAGAAUUUCUGGAGUAGUGAUGAAAUACUAUACCAGAAGGACUGGUAACGGCGAAGGCAUCCUUCUAUGUAAAAACUGACGUUGAGGGACGAAGGCUUGGGUAGCAAUAAGGAUUAGAUACCCUAGUAGUCCAAGCAGAAAAUGAUGAAUGUCAUAGGCUAGAUAAUAUUUAGUCUAUAAAUGAAAGUGUAAGCAUUCCACCUCAAGAGUAAUA